rnacentral:rRNA from 1 species
GUGAACUGAAGGAACGUUGAAGACGACGACGUUGAUAGGCCGGGUGUGUAAGCGCAGCGAUGCGUUGAGCUAACCGGUACUAAUGAACCGUGAGGCUUAACCUUACAACGCCGAAG